rnacentral:lncRNA from 1 species
CUCGAACACGAAAACCCGCCCCAGCCGGUGGGGCGGCGAAGCCCAAGCCGCGGGGACCCCCGCGCACCGCUCGCGACCGAGCUCCUGGACGCGCGCCGGGUGCGCGCACAAAGCCCCCUGCGCCCCUUCCCGAGGCGUGUGGCGGGGGUCCCGCCUCGCCCACCACCAGGUCGCCCACCCCGUCGCUUCUGCUCCUUACCUCAGCACGCGCCGACCUCGGCCACGACGGGGCACAAACUUCCAGCCCGCGCGCUAGCUCAGCCGUGGCGCCCGCACGGACGGCAGUCCUGUCCCCGCCCAGCGCCUGCGGGUCGACCCUGCCUGCGAUCCCCACGACCCACCCGCCGCCCACUGCCGCCCCGGGUCGCGGUCGGGGCUGCGGCCGCGGCCACGGGGACCGGGCGGGGGUCGCUCACCGGGGGCGAGGCGCGCUCCUCGUGCCAGUCAUCCAGCGCCGGGGGCUCCGGGGCGGCGCUGUGGGCCCUCGUCAGCGCCCGCGAGGGAAGUCGAGGCAGCGGCCGCCGCCGCCCCCGGCCCCUUCCCCGGGGCCGCCCACCGCUCGCGGCGCUCCGGGCUGGGGACGUCGCUGUGCGCGCGGGGCGCACCGUCCCCGGGCGCGCGGCCGGGCCGGGGGUGAGCAGGGUCGCGCCCGGCGGGGGCGACCGACGAGGAAAGGCAAAGUUGGGUGCCGGAGCCAGCCCCGCAGCGGAGCCUCGGGUAGGAGCGGGGAGCCCCCGGGAAGGGCCACGCGGGCCGGGCCGCCCCUGCGCAGGGCAGGCGGAGGCGGAGAGCGGGCACCGGGCACGGCCGCGGCUGGCAGGGGGCUGCGGAGCCCACCCGCGGCGGGAGGACAGCGCGCGGGAGCGGGCGCAGCGAGAGCAGCCGCCGCCGGCGCCGCCUUCCCGGCGAGUAGAGCCGAGCGCGGAGCGCGGAGCGCGGGCGGGGAGCGCGGGCGGGGAGCGCGGGGCCGCUUCGCCCCGCCCCGGCCCGGCCCGGCCCGCCCUCGCCCCGCCCCCGCCCCGCCCUCGGCCCGCCCCCGCCCCGCCCCUCGGCCGCGCCUCCUCCCCUCCUGCCUGCCCGGGUGAAACCCGAGCGCCCCACCCGGCGCCUGACCUCCCGGGGCCCCGCCCCCGACCCUGCCCUUCCCGGCCCGGGACCCCCUCCGCGCCCGGGGGCCCCUCUGCGCCCCAGGAGCCCCACGGCUCCUUCCCUCGCGCGCGCGCGCCCGAGCGUUACUUUCGGUGA